rnacentral:snRNA from 1 species
GGAUGUGAGGGCAAUCUGACUGCGACAUCUGUCACCCCAUUGAUCACCAGGGUUGAUUUGGCUGACCUGGCUAGCUAGUUGGGUGUCACCUUCCUCCCUCAACACUCCAUGUGCAUCCUUCCCAUAGCUAGCCCUCAGUUGAAGAGGACGACCACCCCAAUAGAGGAUCAUUUCUCAGUCAAGGGUACGCAAGUAACUGCACUCCCCUGCUAGAGCCUCCAAACAAGCUGUCAAGAACACUUCUGAGAGCUGAAGAUGAACAUUUUCAGACUUAAAGAAGCUCACCAAAUUCUUGACCUAACUAAUGAAAAUAGGU